ACUAACCAAGCAAAGUGCCUUUACGUGGCGGUUAGUAUGAGUAAUUCAUAUUGAAUGAAACCAAACUUUG
rnacentral:ribozyme from 1 species